AAUAGAUACCCAGGUAGUCCAUGCCGUAAACGUUGGGCACUAGGUGUGGGGCUCAUUCCACGAGUUCCGUGCCGCAGCAAACGCAUUAAGUGCCCCGCCUGGGGAGUACGGCCGCAAGGCUAAAACUCAAAGGAAUUGACGGGGGCCCGCACAAGCGGCGGAGCAUGCGGAUUAAUUCGAUGCAACGCGAAGAACCUUACCAAGGCUUGACAUACACGGGAAGCCACCAGAGAUGGUGGUCUCUUUGGACACUCGUGCACAGGUGGUGCAUGGUUGUCGUCAGCUCGUGUCGUGAGAUGUUGGGUUAAGUCCCGCAACGAGCGCAACCCUCGUCCCAUGUUGCCAGCGGGUUAUGCCGGGGACUCAUGGGAGACUGCCGGGGUCAACUCGGAGGAAGGUGGGGAUGACGUCAAAUCAUCAUGCCCCUUAUGUCUUGGGCUUCACGCAUGCUACAAUGGCCGGUACAAAGGGCUGCGAUGCCGUAAGGUGGAGCGAAUCCCAAAAAGCCGGUCUCAGUUCGGAUUGGGGU
rnacentral:rRNA from 1 species